rnacentral:tRNA from 1 species
UCUCUCAUAGCUCAGUUGGUAGAGCGCGCGACUGUUAAUCGCGAGGUCAUCGGUUCGAAACCGGUUGAGAGAG